UAACACAUGCAAGUCGAGCGGUAACAGAAAGUAGCUUGCUACUUUGCUGACGAGCGGCGGACGGGUGAGUAAUGCUUGGGAACAUGCCUUGAGGUGGGGGACAACAGUUGGAAACGACUGCUAAUACCGCAUAAUGUCUACGGACCAAAGGGGGCUUCGGCUCUCGCCUUUAGAUUGGCCCAAGUGGGAUUAGCUAGUUGGUGAGGUAAUGGCUCACCAAGGCGACGAUCCCUAGCUGGUUUGAGAGGAUGAUCAGCCACACUGGGACUGAGACACGGCCCAGACUCCUACGGGAGGCAGCAGUGGGGAAUAUUGCACAAUGGGCGCAAGCCUGAUGCAGCCAUGCCGCGUGUGUGAAGAAGGCCUUCGGGUUGUAAAGCACUUUCAGUCAGGAGGAAAGGUUAGUAGUUAAUACCUGCUAGUUGUGACGUUACUGACAGAAGAAGCACCGGCUAACUCCGUGCCAGCAGCCGCGGUAAUACGGAGGGUGCGAGCGUUAAUCGGAAUUACUGGGCGUAAAGCGUACGCAGGCGGUUUGUUAAGCGAGAUGUGAAAGCCCCGGGCUCAACCUGGGAACUGCAUUUCGAACUGGCAAACUAGAGUGUGAUAGAGGGUGGUAGAAUUUCAGGUGUAGCGGUGAAAUGCGUAGA
rnacentral:rRNA from 1 species